rnacentral:rRNA from 1 species
UACGUAGGGGGCAAGCGUUGUCCGGAUUUAUUGGGCGUAAAGAGCGUGUAGGCGGUUAGGCAGGUCCGUUGUGAAAACUCGAGGCUCAACCUCGAGACGUCGGUUGAAACCGUACGGCUAGAGUCCGGAAGAGGAGAGUGGAAUUCCCGGUGUAGCGGUGAAAUGCGCAGAUAUCGGGAAGAACACCCGUGGCGAAGGCGGCUCUCUGGGACGGUACUGACGCUGAGACGCGAAAGCGUGGGGAGCGAACAGG